CUGAGAACCACGGCCAAAAAGCUGACUUUUCAAGCCAAAAAGGCAAUCAAUCGGGCUAGAAUGGCCACCCAGAGUGCAGUGACACGGGGGGGUACAUGUGGAUACCAAAUAAGCGGCAUACCGAACCCCGUUCACCCGACACGAAGGUGAGGCCUAUCUGGAUGACGGAAGCUCUCCUAACGCCACGACCGACCAAGCUUCAAGCCUUGAGCUCCUGUCCCCCCGCGCCCCCACGGACUUGUGGGGGUUAUCCCGGUCUAUCCCCACAAGAUACCCUUGCAAAGCGAUGUGAAAGCGACGACUAUAACGAGACCAACACUAUGUUGAGG